rnacentral:rRNA from 1 species
AACGAACGCUGGCGGCAUGCCUAACACAUGCAAGUCGAACGAGACCUCCGGGUCUAGUGGCGCACGGGUGCGUAACGCGUGGGAACCUGCCCGUAGGUUCGGAAUAACUCCCUGUAAGGGGUGCUAAUAACGGAUAAUGUCUUCGGACCAAAGAUCUAUCGCCGUUGGAUGGGGGCGCGUUGGAUUAGCUUGUUGGUAGGGUAAAAGCCUACCAAGGCGACGUUCCAUAGCUGGUCAGAGAGAAAGAGCAGCCACACUGGGACUGAGACACGGUCCAGACUCCUACGCGAGGGGGCAGAGGGGAAUAUAGGACAAUGGGCGAAGGCCUGAACCAGCAAUGCCGGGUAAGUGAUGAAGGCCGUAGAGAAGUAAAGCUCUUUUACCCGGGAUGAUAAUGACGGUACCGGGAGAAUAAGCUCCGGCUAACUCCGUG